GAAACAGAAGGCAGCUUACAGAUACACCUGUAUUACUUAAAUGCUUCAGCUUGCAGCAAGGAACUGGGCAGAAAAGAUUUUAUGGAAGGAUGCUAGCACAAGCAGCCAAGGACUAGGCUUGUGGAGGGAGGAAUAUUUCAUACUGUCUACAUGAGAAGCAGAAGCAAAAAAGAGACAGCUAAAACAUAAAAGCAUGACUUUGUAAUAGAGCUGAUGGACUUGGCCUUGCUCUCUUCAGAGAUACUUGGCCUUGCCUAGACAGCUCCCUCUGAGCGUGGAGCAAGAGCUGCUAACAAGCUCCUGCUGGGUGCAAACAAGCAAGCCACCUUCUUGCAAGAUGUGUUGACACAGAAUUUGUGGUUUCUUCACAACAUGUAAGACAUUCUUGCAAGCUAAUACACACAAAAUGCUUCCCACACGCAGGAAAAGAGGCUAAAUAAGGACAGGAGAACUCAAUACAUGUAUGCUAGUACUGCACGAGAACAAAGAACUGAGGAACCAACAGACUGGUUUCUCUCCCCAGUGACAAAGUUGGCUGUCUCGGAUUUAAUGCUAAGCUGCUGAACAAUGGCAAAGAAAGGGCAGGUUUCCCACUGCUCAUGAGGAAUGAAAUCUUUGCUGAGAGCGCAGAAGCCACAUUCUUUAGCAAAUUAGAUGCAUCAGCUAGGAUUUGGCAGAACCUCCUGAAUGCACUCCUAACCACUUACUGAGGCUGUCUUUCAAGAGGUAUUACACAAUUGCAGACCACGAAAAGGCUAAAAGCCAUGAACUGUGGCAAACAAGGAUGAGUGACAAGGAGCCACCAAAGACCGGACAAUUACUUUUCUUCUGAAAAGUAUUAUUUGGACUGAAUUGGGAACAUUAAUUGGUAUUUAUUGAUGUUUUCCUCAAGCAAAAGAGUUGGCCUACAUUCCUGCAUGAUACAGCAGAGAAUUUUCUCUUUCUGGCAGUGCCUAGCCUUCCUUAAGAUAUCUGUAUAUUUUACUCCUCUUCCUGCAUCCUUUUUCCUCUUCUGCCACGUCUGGCAGUUUCCAGAGCAGCACAGAUAGCUGUGGACAACUUCAACUGCAUCAUUUCUAGGUUUCUGAAAUGAAGAUGUCAGUGCAUGUAAGCUUGAAUUAGCUGCAAGAUCUCUGAGAUGGACACCAUCACUUCUGACACACAACUUCCACACCCCACACAAGGACCCAGGCGGAGCACUGCCAUGGCAGAAACCUUCAGAUUUUCUUCCCUUGCAGCACUGGGUGCUGUCAGCUCACCCAGAGUACAGCAAGUGCUGCUAGUAGCAGUGAGAUUCCCCUCCCCUCCCACAGCAACUUGUUAUCCUGCUGCACUCUUGGCUCUCUCAGGACGGGCUCGGUAGGAGGGAAGGCAGCAGUUUGCCCCACUCUAUUCCCUGCUCCCAGCCUGGCCUCAGCUGUGCCAAUACUCAGCCUUGGGAAGGCAAUAGCCUGCUCCCAGCCAGCCUGUAAACAAGGCAAGAGCUGUUGCAGGAGAUAAAGGAGGACUCACACAGCACCAGAGCUAUGGGCAGAGGGAAGGAGCCACCUACAUGGCAGGCUGAAAAAUGAUAAAAAAAAGAACAAGAUGCAACUUGUUUUUAAGGUAAAGAAGAGUUGGAAAACAAGAAUCGUAAUGGAGGAGAGCUUUUGAUUUUCCAGGGGACACCAGAAUACUGAAUUCCUGUCACUGUCCAGUAUUGAAAGCAUCUGCCAUUCCAUGCUAAUUAGGUAUGCCCCAUGCUUAGAGCCCACGGAAGAGCAUGGUAUAAAUAUCCCAGGAUGCUCAGUGAUGCUGUGUUGUCAGCUCAUGACAGAUCCAGCCGUAAAAGCGUGUGGAAAGAACACGAUGUUACAUCAUUGUGUAUUGACAAUAAGAGUAUACAUAAUAAAGAAGAAGAGUGAGAGAUCCGUGAACAGUAAGAAAUGGAUCAUGGCUAGUAUUGCUGAAAGCAGGUAGAAUGGGUUACAAGGCUGGAAAAUGAAAAGUGAUGAUGACAACCUGCCUAGUAAGGGAAAAAUGGGGGAAAAAAAAAGCAGGAAGGUGUAGCUCUGUAUAUAAAAAUAAUGGUGCUACUGGCUAUAGAUACUUCCAAAUCACCAUGUUUUGAUAUUACUGCUGUAACUAAUAAAACUUGCUUAGUAUUGGUUGA